rnacentral:rRNA from 1 species
GAUGAACGCUGGCGGCGUGCCUAAUACAUGCAAGUCGAGCGAACGGACGAGAAGCUUGCUUCUCUGAUGUUAGCGGCGGACGGGUGAGUAACACGUGGAUAACCUACCUAUAAGACUGGGAUAACUUCGGGAAACCGGAGCUAAUACCGGAUAAUAUUUUGAACCGCAUGGUUCAAAAGUGAAAGACGGUCUUGCUGUCACUUAUAGAUGGAUCCGCGCUGCAUUAGCUAGUUGGUAAGGUAACGGCUUACCAAGGCAACGAUGCAUAGCCGACCUGAGAGGGUGAUCGGCCACCCUGGAACUUAGACACGGUCCAGACUCCUACGGGAGGCCGCAGUAGGGAAUCUUCCGCAAUGGGCGAAAGCCUGACGGAGCAACGCCGCGUGAGUGAUGAAGGUCUUCGGAUCGUAAAGCUCUGUUAUUAGGGAAGAACAUAUUUGUAAGUAACUGUGCACAUCUUGACGGUACCUAAUCAGAAAGCCACGGCUAACUACGUG